rnacentral:rRNA from 1 species
AUGAACGCUGGCGGCGUGCUUCACACAUGCAAGUCGAACGGAGCACUUUAUUUGAUUUCCUUCGGGCCUGUUUAUAUUGUGUCUGUGUGGCGGACGGGUGCGUAACGCGUGGGUAACCUGCCUUGUACAGGGGGGUAACAGUUGGAAAUGGCUGCUACUACCGCAUAAGGGCGCAGCAUCACAUGAUGCAGUGUGAGAAACUCCGGUGGUAUAAGAUGGACCCGCGUGGGAUUAGCUAGUUGGAGAGGUAACGGCCAACCAAGGCGACGAUCCAUAGCCGACAUGAGAGGGGGACCGGCCACAUUGGGACUGAGACACGGCCCAAACUCCUACGGGAGGCAGCAGUGGGGAAUAUUGCACAAUGGGCGAAAGCCUGAUGCAGCGACGCCGCGUGAGCGAAGAAGUAUUUCGGUAUGUAAAGCUCUAUCAGCAGGGAAGAUAAUGACGGUACCUGACUAAGAAGCACCGGCUAAAUACGUG